AUCGUCUCAGGUCCGGACGGUAGCAACGAUGGCCGGUACGGCGUCCGGUACGGGGG
rnacentral:SRP_RNA from 1 species